UCGAAUGAAACGAGGCUGCGAUCUUUUGACUUUGAUUUUUUAAAGACAAGAUCAAAAGAUCGCAGCCUCGUUUCACUCGA
rnacentral:misc_RNA from 1 species